UAAAUACUCCCUCCGUUCCGAAUUACUUGUCGCACAUAUGGAUGUAUCUAGAUGUAUUUUAGUUCUAGAUACAUCCAUUUCAGCGACGAGUAAUUUGGAACGGAGGGAGUACGUA
rnacentral:pre_miRNA from 1 species